UACAGCCACAUCAUGUUGCAACACCAGUUCCUGUGGGAUCAACAAAAUUAAGCAACAUUGAGCCUGGUCAGUACCUAGAUGGGUGACUGCUUGGAAAUGCCAGGAGCUGUAAG